UGGAUACGAAGUACAUCCAUCCAGUCAUCUUUUUGGCCAGGAUAAAGUCCAAAUCACUCCAGCAAGUUUCAUCAUACAUUGCUUUUGGUGUUUCUUGAACAUCAACAGUUCCAGCAGAUGAGGUAAAAACUACCCUUCUAACAGUUUCUGCCUUCACACAUGAUUUCAGGAUGUCUAAUACACCAUUUAUUGUUGGCCUUAUCACUUCAUUCUCAGGGUCGGUGGACUCAAAAUCCAUUGGGGUGGCAACGUGGAAAACACCGGUGCAGCGUUGGAUUGCUUCGUCAAAGCUACCCUCCACGGAGAGAUCAGCUUUCCAUAGAGUGAGGUGGGUCUUAGCUUUGGGUAGUUCCACCAAAUGUUGCACCUUCUUUGCAUUACCAGGGUCACGCACAGUGGCUCCCACUGUGUAACCACG
rnacentral:misc_RNA from 1 species